GUCUGUAGUCUUUCUUCAUCUACUCUACAUGGAAUUGCUUCAAGUUUAUUAAGGAAUUGGAACAGGAGAGCAGCUUAGUUGACACUCUUCUUAAUCUUCGUUCUCUGGACAAAUCUCCGCAGGAAGAUAAACCGAAAACUCAAUAACUCAGCCACCAGCAUAUGAAGACGUUAUGAAGUUGCCAUUAUAUGAGGAGGUUGUAGAGGCACCAGAAGAAUUGCCACACAAGAAGUCUCCACCAUCGUAUACACCAAAGUAAUAUACAGUGACCAAAUAUGAACGUGUCUGUUCAGUACCUAUUGAAA